AGCAGUGUAGCUCAACGGAAAGAGCAUGGGCUUAGGAGUCAAAGGUCAUGGGUUCUAAUCCCGUCUCCACCA
rnacentral:tRNA from 1 species